UUUUGGAGGAGGGCAAAGACUCUCGCGGCGCUCUUUGCCCCUCCGCUCGCCUCAGUUGCCGCCGCCAUCUUGGAUCAGGAAUAUCUACAAUAUUGUUUGAACACUCAGGACACGGGACUUCACCAUCUGAUAUCUGACAACAGACUUCCUAUGAACAGGAGUAACGGCUUCCGGAGAACAGAUGCUUCGAUAUCAACACAGAGAAAGAUAACACCCGGCUGCAAGUAACAAAUUGCACCAAAGUUACAAAUGCAAACCACACCCUGUGCCCUUGGGAACGUCUGAGGCAAUGAGUGGCAGAAAUCCCAGCCAUGGAGAUAACUACUGCUGUACUUCUAGAGGAUGGAAGGGUCACACAAACAGAAUUAAUGUAUGUUUCAAAACGCUGAAGACUGUGGGUGCAAAGAAGCUGCCACUCACAGAUACGGGAUAAAGCCAAUGGCCAAAACUGGGCCAGAAGGCAUGUGCUUAAUAAAUUAACAGUGAUUACUGUACAGGAAUUAUGCCACAAUAAAGGUGU